rnacentral:misc_RNA from 1 species
AUGGGACGGCCCGCUGGGCUGUUCCCGCCCCUAUGCCCUUUUUUGGGUUUCCGGCCAGAGGCAUGCUGGGAGCGUCACAUGCAAAUUGAGCGUGCACCCAGCGUUCCGCCCUUUCUACGCUGGGCCGGUUAUCGACCCGGCCCAGUGCGCAGGCGCGGGAAAGUUGAACUAAUAAAGUUUGUACGAGUUCAGUGGAGGAGACCGCAAGUUGAGUGGAGGAGGCGGCGGUGGGGCCCCGGACCAGGUCAGCGGGGUGUUGACGAGGGGUGGGGUGAGGAGGGAAGAGGAGGGGGCCGGGAUCCAGUGGUGGGCACCCCAGUCCCGCUUCUCUGAUAUCCAAGGGUCCAGGGUCCUCUAGAUUCCAGCAGGGGUCGGAGAUUUGGAACUACACCUCACAGCAGGCUGCGCGGCGAAGAAGCGCGGACCUAGGGGAAGAUUUGCCCUGAAACCUCUUGGGAUUGGUAGUUCCCGAUGCUUUAAGGGUUUCAGGAGUUUGGCAUAUGCCUCUUAUAGAAUCCAGGAGUUGGGGCGCUAAGCCUCUUCUUCCUGGGAGACCUAAGGGUCUGGGGCUCCAGUUCCUUUUUCUCUAAGACUCAGAAGUCCAGGACCCCAGCUCCCUCCUCCUUUAGACCCACGAAUCUGGGCACCCAGCCCCACCACCUUUCCUUGGAUCGAAGAGUCUUUUUCCUGAUCGCUUUUUCGUCUGAGGACUCAAGAGUCUAGGCCCCCAGACCCACACUCUCCAAAGGACCCAGGAGUCCAGGCCCUCAGCACCUUCCUUGGGACUCACAAGUCCUGGUCCCCAAGCCUCCACUUCUUGCUAAACCCUUGGAGUCCAGUCCCUAACCCUCUCUCUCACAGGUGCCUCCAUGGCAGGCUCUGAAGAGCUGGGGCUCCGGGAAGACACGCUGAGGGUCCUAGCUGCCUUCCUUAGGCGUGGUGAGGCUGCCGGGUCUCCUGUUCCAACUCCACCUAGGCCCAGCUACUCCAGACUUCUAUGCUUUGGUGGCCCAGCGGCUGGAACAGCUGGUCCAAGAGCAGCUGAAAUCUCCGCCCAGCCCAGAAUUACAGGGUCCCCCAUCGACAGAGAAGGAAGCCAUACUGCGGAGGCUGGUGGCCCUGCUGGAGGAGGAGGCAGAAGUCAUUAACCAGAAGCUGGCCUCGGACCCCGCCCUGCGCAGCAAGCUGGUCCGCCUGUCCUCCGACUCUUUCGCCCGCCUGGUGGAGCUGUUCUGUAGCCGGGAUGACAGCUCUCGCCCAAGCCGAGCAUGCCCCGGGCCCCCGCCUCCUUCCCCGGAGCCCCUGGCCCGCCUGGCCCUAGCCAUGGAGCUGAGCCGGCGCGUGGCCGGGCUGGGGGGCACCCUGGCCGGACUCAGCGUGGAGCACGUGCACAGCUUCACGCCCUGGAUCCAGGCCCACGGGGGCUGGGAGGGCAUCCUGGCUGUUUCACCCGUGGACUUGAACUUGCCAUUGGACUGAGCUCUUUCUCAGAAGCUGCUACAAGAUGACACCUCAUGUCCCUGCCCUCUUCGUGUGCUUUUCCAAGUCUUCCUAUUCCACUCAGGGCUGUGGGGUGGUGGUUGCCCUACCUGUUUUUGCCAAAAAUAAAUUGUUUAAAACUUUUCUUAUUAAAAACGUUACAAAGUA